AAAAGUCGCUGGGGGUGGUUACACUGAGAGCCGUUAGUUAGUGUCCAUCCGGAAAUGAGAUAGUUUCGUCGAGUUCAAGGCGGGCGAUAAUUUUAACCACAGGAAUACAUUGACGUAUUUCGAGGAUUAAAAUUUGAGCCCAACACCGAAAUCGGUGAAAAUAGCCAUUUUCGGAUGGACACUAGUUAUGACGGCAACCCUUAGAACCUGAUCUGGGUAAGACCAGCGGAGGGAAGCGACUCACAUAGAAG
rnacentral:ncRNA from 24 species